rnacentral:misc_RNA from 1 species
AGGGAGACCUACCCAAAUCAGAAAUCGAAAGCAGAAAGGCAGAAGGCGAAAGCCAAAAGCCGAAAGCAAAUAGAGACUGAGAUGGUUUACUCUAGGUCGGUCGAGAUUGGAAAAGCUUUCAAAGUAUUACUAUUCCGGUUGAAAAAGAGAAAGAAUCAGCAACUAACAAUUGUUAGACUGCUGAGGAAACUCAGCCAGAACCUUGAAAACUGCAUAGAAACGCGAUUAGAGCAGGCAGACACAAGUAUGAAAAGAUAUAAAGUGUUUGCGGGAUAGGA